AUCUAAGUACCCCGAGGAAAAGAAAUCAACCGAGAUUCCCCCAGUAGCGGCGAGCGAACGGGGAGCAGCCCAGAGUCUGAAUCAGCUUGUGUGUUAGUGGAACGGUCUGGAAAGUCCGACGGUACAGGGUGAUAGUCCCGUACACCAAAAUGCACAGGUUGUGAACUCGAAGAGUAGGGCGGGACACGUGGUAUCCUGUCUGAAUAUGGGGGGACCAUCCUCCAAGGCUAAAUACUCCUGACUGACCGAUAGUGAACCAGUACCGUGAGGGAAAGGCGAAAAGAACCCCGGCGAGGGGAGUGAAAAAGAACCUGAAACCGUGUACGUACAAGCAGUGGGAGCACCUUCGGGUGUGACUGCGUACCUUUUGUAUAAUGGGUCAGCGACUUAUAUUCUGUAGCAAGGUUAACCGUAUAGGGGAGCCGCAGGGAAACCGAGUCUUAACUGGGCGUUAAGUUGCAGGGUAUAGACCCGAAACCCGGUGAUCUAGCCAUGGGCAGGUUGAAGGUUGGGUAACACUAACUGGAGGACCGAACCGACUAAUGUUGAAAAAUUAGCGGAUGACUUGUGGCUGGGGGUGAAAGGCCAAUCAAACCGGGAGAUAGCUGGUUCUCCCCGAAAGCUAUUUAGGUAGCGCCUCGUGAACUCAUCUUCGGGGGUAGAGCACUGUUUCGGCUAGGGGGUCAUCCCGACUUACCAACCCGAUGCAAACUACGAAUACCGAAGAAUGUUAUCACGGGAGACACACGGCGGGUGCUAACGUCCGUCGUGAAGAGGGAAACAACCCAGACCGCCAGCUAAGGUCCCAAAGUCAUGGUUAAGUGGGAAACGAUGUGGGAAGGCACAGACAGCCAGGAUGUUGGCUUAGAAGCAGCCAUCAUUUAAAGAAAGCGUAAUAGCUCACUGGUCGAGUCGGCCUGCGCGGAAGAUGUAACGGGGCUAAACCAUGCACCGAAGCUGCGGCAGCGACACUAUGUGUUGUUGGGUAGGGGAGCGUUCUGUAAGCCUGCGAAGGUGUGCUGUGAGGCAUGCUGGAGGUAUCAGAAGUGCGAAUGCUGACAUAAGUAACGAUAAAGCGGGUGAAAAGCCCGCUCGCCGGAAGACCAAGGGUUCCUGUCCAACGUUAAUCGGGGCAGGGUGAGUCGACCCCUAAGGCGAGGCCGAAAGGCGUAGUCGAUGGGAAACAGGUUAAUAUUCCUGUACUUGGUGUUACUGCGAAGGGGGGACGGAGAAGGCUAUGUUAGCCGGGCGACGGUUGUCCCGGUUUAAGCAUGUAGGCUGAUUGUCCAGGCAAAUCCGGAUAAUCAAGGCUGAGGUGUGAUGACGAGGCACUACGGUGCUGAAGUAACAAAUGCCCUGCUUCCAGGAAAAGCCUCUAAGCAUCAGGUAACAUUAAAUCGUACCCCAAACCGACACAGGUGGUCAGGUAGAGAAUACCAAGGCGCUUGAGAGAACUCGGGUGAAGGAACUAGGCAAAAUGGUGCCGUAACUUCGGGAGAAGGCACGCUGGUGUGUAGGUGAAGUCCCUGCGGAUGGAGCUGAGACCAGUCGAAGAUACCAGCUGGCUGCAACUGUUUAUUAAAAACACAGCACUGUGCAAACACGAAAGUGGACGUAUACGGUGUGACGCCUGCCCGGUGCCGGAAGGUUAAUUGAUGGGGUUAUCCGUAAGGAGAAGCUCUUGAUCGAAGCCCCGGUAAACGGCGGCCGUAACUAUAACGGUCCUAAGGUAGCGAAAUUCCUUGUCGGGUAAGUUCCGACCUGCACGAAUGGCGUAAUGAUGGCCAGGCUGUCUCCACCCGAGACUCAGUGAAAUUGAACUCGCUGUGAAGAUGCAGUGUACCCGCGGCAAGACGGAAAGACCCCGUGAACCUUUACUAUAGCUUGACACUGAACAUUGAGCCUUGAUGUGUAGGAUAGGUGGGAGGCUUUGAAGCGUGGACGCCAGUCUGCGUGGAGCCAACCUUGAAAUACCACCCUUUAAUGUUUGAUGUUCUAACGUUGGCCCCUGACCGGGGUUGCGGACAGUGUCUGGUGGGUAGUUUGACUGGGGCGGUCUCCUCCCAAAGCGUAACGGAGGAGCACGAAGGUUAGCUAAUCCUGGUCGGACAUCAGGAGGUUAGUGCAAUGGCAUAAGCUAGCUUGACUGCGAGCGUGACGGCGCGAGCAGGUGCGAAAGCAGGUCAUAGUGAUCCGGUGGUUCUGAAUGGAAGGGCCAUCGCUCAACGGAUAAAAGGUACUCCGGGGAUAACAGGCUGAUACCGCCCAAGAGUUCAUAUCGACGGCGGUGUUUGGCACCUCGAUGUCGGCUCAUCACAUCCUGGGGCUGAAGUAGGUCCCAAGGGUAUGGCUGUUCGCCAUUUAAAGUGGUACGCGAGCUGGGUUUAGAACGUCGUGAGACAGUUCGGUCCCUAUCUGCCGUGGGCGCUGGAGAAUUGAGGGGGGCUGCUCCUAGUACGAGAGGACCGGAGUGGACGCAUCACUGGUGUUCGGGUUGUCAUGCCAAUGGCACUGCCCGGUAGCUAAAUGCGGAAGAGAUAAGUGCUGAAAGCAUCUAAGCACGAAACUUGCCCCGAGAUGAGUUCUCCCUGAGACUUUAAGUCUCCUGAAGGAACGUUGAAGACGACGACGUUGAUAGGCCGGGUGUGUAAGCGCAGCGAUGCGUUGAGCUAACCGGUACUAAUGAACCGUGAGGCUUAACCUU
rnacentral:rRNA from 1 species